CGCAGGGGCCGGGAGCUAAUACAUGCAGUCGAGCGAAUGGAUUAAGAGCUUGCUCUUAUGAAGUUAGCGGCGGACGCGUUAGAGUAACACGUGGGUAACCUGCCCAUAAGACUGGGAUAACUCCGGGAAACCGGGGCUAAUACCGGAUAACAUUUUGAACCGCAUGGUUCGAAAUUGAAAGGCGGCUUCGGCUGUCACUUAUGGAUGGACCCGCGUCGCAUUAGCUAGUUGGUGAGGUAACGGCUCACCAAGGCAACGAUGCGUAGCCGAYCUGAGAGGGUSAUCGRCCACWYKGGGAYYGAGACACKGCCCAGACUCYWACGGRRGGCAGGCACGUASGGAAUCYUCCCGCMAUUGGACGAAAGUCKRACGRAGCAACGCCCGCKUGAGUKAUUGAAGGCUUUCGGKUCGUAAAAACUUUCUGUUGUWARGGAAGAAACAAGUGGCUAAGUUGAAUAAAGCCUGGCACCUUGACCGGUACCUUAACCAGAAAAGGCCAASGGCUAACUACGUGGCCAGCAGCCGCGGUAAUACGUAGGUGGCAAGCGUUAUCCGGGAAUUAUUGGGGCGUAAAGCGCGCGCAGGUGGUUUCUUAAGUCUGAUGUGAAAGCCCACGGCUCAACCGUGGAGGGUCAUUGGAAACUGGGAGACUUGAGUGCAGAAGAGGAAAGUGGGAAUUCCAUGUGUAGCGGUGAAAUGCGUAGAGAUAUGGAGGAACACCAGUGGCGAAGGCGACUUUCUGGUCUGUAACUGACACUGAGGCGCGAAAGCGUGGGGAGCAAACAGGAUUAGAUACCCKKGGUAGUCCACGCCGUAAACGAUGAGUGCUAAGUGUUAGAGGGUUUCCGCCCCUUUAGUGCUGAAGUUAACGCAUUAAGCACUCCSSCUGGGGGAGUACGGGCCGCCAAGGCUGAAACUCAAAAGGAAUUGACGGGGGGCCCGCACARSCGGUGGAGCCAUGUGGUUWAAWUCGCRAGCAACGCGGAAGAACCUUACCARGUCUUGACAUCCUCUGAAAACCCUAGAGAUAGGGCUUCUCCUUCGGGAGCAGAGUGACAGGUGGUGCAUGGUUGUCGUCAGCUCGUGUCGUGAGAUGUUGGGUUAAGUCCCGCAACGAGCGCAACCCUUGAUCUUAGUUGCCAUCAUUAAGUUGGGCACUCUAAGGUGACUGCCGGUGACAAACCGGAGGAAGGUGGGGAUGACGUCAAAUCAUCAUGCCCCUUAUGACCUGGGCUACACACGUGCUACAAUGGACGGUACAAAGAGCUGCAAGACCGCGAGGUGGAGCUAAUCUCAUAAAACCGUUCUCAGUUCGGAUUGUAGGCUGCAACUCGCCUACAUGAAGCUGGAAUCGCUAGUAAUCGCGGAUCAGCAUGCCGCUGUGUGAAGUACGUUCCCGGGCCUUGUACACACCGCCCGUCCCUUCCUAUGGAGUUUGUAACACCCGAAGUCGGUGGGGUAACCUUUUGGAGCCAGCCGCCUAAGGUGGACAGAGGGUUUUGGG
rnacentral:rRNA from 1 species